AUGCACACACCAUUCCAAACCCCAAGGUACCUAAAAUAUAUAUUUCAAGUAUAAAGCCAAAUACCAAUUAAUUAGGAAAUCUCAAGACAUAGUUAGUUCUACAUCGCUAUUAGGCAUAUUAUUAUAGAAGAGUGAUUCAAUUACUCUUUGGACGAUGCUGCUAAUCAAUUUUGGACCACGAGGCAAAUGUAUAAAAAUAUUGUUAUAAAGUAUGUCAAGGUGAGAGAUGAGCAUAAAAGUUUUUUUCUUCUUUGUUUCUGGCUUAAAGUUCAUUUCUGUUUUAAGUGUCCCUUUCUUUUCUCUUACCUUCCUUUUUAGUUGUCUUGUUCUGGCGUGUGAUUAGAAGGAUUAAUAAAAUUAGUUUGACAUAA
rnacentral:lncRNA from 1 species